ensembl:snRNA U6 U6 spliceosomal RNA
GCAUAAACUUCAGCAACACAUAUGCUAAAAUUAGUAUAAUACAGAGACGAAUAGAAUAUGGCCUUUGUACAAGGAUGAUAUGCACAUUCAUGAAACAUUCCAUAUUUUU